AGCAACUUCUCCUCUGGACAGGUUUUGAUAAAUCUCCCCCUAUAUGAUAUAACUGGGUCGGAUGUUACCUUGUCAGCCAAAACUCCUCUGUAUCUGCUGCUUCCUUGUCUUCUCUGUCCUCAGAAGAACUAUGGAAGGUGCUGCCGAUCUACCUGUAAGAACAAGAUGAUGUUCCAGAUGAGGCCGAGGACCAGCGAGGGGUUUCCAUCUGUGAUCUCCGCAGCGUCAAUGCUGACCAGCUUCACCUACAGGAAAUACACAGUCUAUUAGGUCACUGCAAGUCACAGACGAAAAACAUUCAUGGAAAAUUCUGAGAGCAGAUGAUGUCACUGAACCGACGUAUCCUGAGCCCCCGGGAUCACAAUGAACCUUUAUAAGAAUCAAAAACACAAACCAUAAAGCCCAGAGCCGCCUCAAUAUGUCUCUGUAAUCUGGAAUGUGUCCACAUCCCCGGCUUAAAAACUUUAUUCUGAAUCAAGGAGGCGGCUAAACCCCAUAAAUCCGAUUAGUGACUGAAAAGUCAGAGGCGAUCACAGAGCGAACUCAGCGCACAAAGUCAAUGGAUCUACUAUAUACUGCGGAAUCACUGUGUACAUACAUUACUUAUCCUGUACUGAUCCUGAGUUAUAUCCUGUAUUAUACUCCAG